rnacentral:tRNA from 1 species
GUCCCUGUAGCCUAGUCGCAUAGAGCGCCGUACUUAUAAUAUGGAUUUCGAGAGUUUGAGCCUCUCCAGGGGCG